ncrna:unclassified sequences DTF805b RNA
AAGGCGGAACCCGAAAAACCUAUAACAGAGUAGGAA